GGGGUAGUAAAGGUUUCGACAGGGGUCUUGAAGUUGGAGAAGCUAUCCGCAUGCAAUGCGUCAAAUUGCAAAUUAAAAAUAAACGCUGAAGAAAAUUUAGCUUACGCAGCCUAAUGGCUGCUGUCUGACUUAGAGCACCUACACUUUAAACUCAGGCAUCGACUUUGUAGGAAACGACAUUGGGAAAGCUUUGACCUGAUGGGCGUAUCAUGAAGCUACUGAAGCUUAAAGGGUGUUAGUUCCCGUUAAGCAGAGGGAAUGCCAAAGAACUGACUAUGAUAGUAGAAGUACAAUGAAUGGGCUUUUGGACACGGGUUCGACUCCCGUCUACUCCACUU
rnacentral:tmRNA from 1 species